rnacentral:lncRNA from 1 species
GGGAAGGAGGACACACGCAAAAAAUCCCUGGAUCUCCUCUCAAGAAAAAGGGCACAACCUUUCCUAUCGACUAAGCUCAUCUUCUCCAAACCAUUAACGAUGAUGCUAGCCCGCUCUCUCUCUAUAUCUUGUUCGUCUUGACACACACACACGAAAGGGAAAAGAAAACAUACUUGAAUUCUGAACUUUCAGAUCUAGAAAAAUCGAAAAAAGAGGAUUUAAAGCUAGUUUUGAGUUUCAUACAAUUGUUGCAUAUAUCUGGGCCUUUGCAAGCUAUUUUUAGUUGAAUAAGCUGAUCUAUUUCUGUUGUUCUUCCUUUUAUUGUUGAUUGCUGUUAUUCUUUGGUUUCCGCCGAAUUCAUGGCCUAUCUCCAGUUUUUUUUAUUCGUUUUGGUCCAGCAGUGAGGUAAACACAUAAAACUCUUGAUGUAUUUGAGUGUUCUUCAAUAAAAAUGAGUUGUCGAUCUAUUCGUAAUCCAUAUGAUGUUUGUUUUGCUCAGAUUUUUUUAUUAAAGUUGUCUCUUCAGUGUUGAAUCUGAUUAUGACUUGGAGCUACAACUCACAUAUGUUAAUUUGAGCUUUUAAAAUUCAUUGUGUGUUUUUUGAUUAGCAGUGGAAAUACUUACUUUACGAUUAAAUUCGAAAUGCUGCUUUACGUUAUUCGGCUUAUGUGAUAAUCUGCUUGAUUUGGUUUAAUUCAGUUUAUAUUCUGUCAAAGUUUGCUAAUUAGAAAUUAUGUCGAUUUUUGAAGUUACCGGAAAUGAUAGUUGAUGUGAAAAGCUUCUACACUAGCGUGCUUCAGUUCUUAAUUUCUAAUCCAUUAUGUGAUUCAUGUUAUGGAUGGUUGCAACAUCUCCACCAUAGUAGUCUUAUUAAUUAAAUUAUAGACAUAGAAACUCUAGAAUUUGAGUAGAACCAUAUUGUUGUGCGCAUUAAACACCAGGUAUUAACAGGAUAAGGGUGAUGCUAACAAAUCUGAUGUUCUUUUGGAUAAAAAUGGAAGAGGAAACCAGAAAAUUCAAUUGUAAAAUUUGAUUAAUGUGUAGUUUGAUUAUGUCGAUGCAAAGGAAAGGGUUCUUUGCAUAACAUCUGGACAGAUAAAGGCAUACUCUUCUAGUUCUAUGCUCUAUGUGAGUGUUAACAAGAUUAUCUGCCCGUAUGUGUGUGCACGUUUGUAAGACUCUCAGGUUGUGUUAGUCAGAGUGUGAUACAUAGAAUUUGUUGUUAUUUUUCUGAAGCUCU